AAAGGAGUGUUUGAAAAGAGAACCAAGGAGGAAGAAGUCGAAGAAAGACCAUUUGAAACUUAUUAUCCAAGUAUUGUGGAGCUAACUAGUAGUGACAAGGAUCCGUCAAGUGAACAAGCCUAGUUGAACAAAGAAAAGUAGGCUUGGUCUCAUUGAUUGAUUUAUUGAUGGCAUGCUAGCAGACUUGCAAUUCGAGCUCACUCAGGCACUUGAACUUACUCACAUGGGAUGAGCUAAUAUCUCAAGUGCGCAACAUGGAAGAUUAUUUUAUUUAUUUUUAAGCUAAAGCUCAAAGACAAGAAGGCAUCUAAUGCAAAUGAAAUGGAACUAUUAGUGAGGGCAAAUGACAGCGUGUCUUCGAGAUUUGACUUAUUUUCCAUCACAUGAGGAUGGGGUGAUGGCGAGGAGACCAGUUCUGUCACAUUACUGGAGAUUCUCAAGUGCAGGAUCAAAUUCAAUUGGUAAAAAGUAGUUAGCAGUACCUGUCCUACCCUUUAUAAAUUCAACACAAGCGCCUGUUCCCACUUCUAAAAUUGUCAAUUGAGUUGGGAUUUCUCAAUUCCAAACCCAUCAAAAAAACUCAAAAUGAAUGGCUUUAUUUAUAGGGCAAUCAAAUGUAUUGAACCCUCAUGACCCUCUCCGAUUUGCUGCUGCCCUCUCGUUCUUCAUCUCAAGCCCAAAUGGUCUUGAGUGAUGCAUCAACUAUGGCCUACUCUAUUUUGGCCACUAUUCAAAAAGAGCAA
rnacentral:lncRNA from 1 species